rnacentral:rRNA from 1 species
AACGAACGCUGGCGGCAGGCUUAACACAUGCAAGUCGAACGCAUGCCUUCGGGCAUGAGUGGCAGACGGGUGAGUAACGCGUGGGAACCUACCCCUUGGUACGGGAUAGCUCCGGGAAACUGGAGAUAAUACCGUAUGUGUCCUGAGGGACAAAGAUUCAUCGCCAAGGGAUGGGCCCGCGUCGGAUUAGCUAGUUGGUGGGGUAACGGCCUACCAAGGCGACGAUCCGUAGCUGGUCUAAGAGGAUGAUCAGCCACAUUGGGACUGAGACACGGCCCAAACUCCUACGGGAGGCAGCAGUGGGGAAUAUUGGACAAUGGGCGCAAGCCUGAUCCAGCCAUGCCGCGUGAGUGAUGAAGGCCCUAGGGUUGUAAAGCUCUUUCACCGGUGACGAUAAUGACGGUAACCGGAGAAGAAGCCCCGGCGAACUUCGC